AUUCUACCUGUCAGACUCUGUCUGACUUUCCCAGACUUCAUGCAGAGAUUAUAGAUGUGAAUAAAAGGCAGCCGCCUGGCGUCAGGUUGACUCUGUCUGAACG